rnacentral:rRNA from 1 species
UACGGAGGGUGCUAGCGUUGUUCGGAAUUAUUGGGCGUAAAGGGCGCGUAGGCGGUUAUGUAAGUCAGAUGUGAAAUACUUCGGCUCAACCGAAGAACUGCAUUUGAUACUACUUAGCUAGAGUACAGAAGAGGGAAAUGGAAUUCCCGGUGUAGAGGUGAAAUUCGUAGAUAUCGGGAGGAACACCAGUGGCGAAGGCGAUUUCCUGGUCUGAUACUGACGCUGAGGCGCGAAAGCGUGGGGAGCAAACAGG